rnacentral:lncRNA from 1 species
GCCAGUGCGCAGGCCCAGUGUGCUGCGGCGAGGAGCUCAGGGCUCACGUUCAGUGCAAGCCACCGAGGCUUUGAAGAUUCACCGUUCGUUAGUUCUUACCUGCAGGCGUCCUUUUGAAAAAAAACAAAAAAACAAAAAAAACCCUAGCAAGCCGGGCAUGGAAUGAGGCCCUGGGUUCCAUCCAUCACUGCAUGAAACAGGCGCUGUGGCACAAGAAAGCAGUUUCUGCAACUCUGAGGAGUGGAGGGGGUGGGGGAUGAUCAGAACUUAAACGUCAUCUCUGGGAUCCUUGAGAUGCUGGCUAUAGCCACUCCACCGCUUAACUUAAGUGGCCAAGGCUGGAGGAUCAUUGGAGAAUGUCUUCUGGACCACGUAGCAGAACCUUGUCUUUAAAAAAGGGGGUGGGAGUGGGGGCUGAUGGGGUAGUAAUGGCAAAGACCAAAUCCUGUUAGCCUAUACCAAUGUCCCUUUUAGAGCUAGAAAGAUGGCUCAGAGGUUAAGAUGGCUUGUCGUUCUUUCCAAGGACUUCCCAGCACCCAUACAGUGGUGGUUCAAAAUCUCAUGUAACUCUACAUGUGGCAGACACAUAUGACC